ACUUUUUUAUUCUUUCAUUUCUCUCCUCUCACAACAAGAAAGAAAAGCCAACAUAUUCUCUCCCAUCAUCAACAGUAACGUCGAUCAUCACCUGACCGGUCGAGACGACACGUCGACUAUGGCGCGCCGUCUCUUCACCUGUUUUGGCAAAGGCUCCUCGCAUCAUAAGCGAGAAAUUUCGUACGAAAAUACCACGUCGGAUAUGACGGUGGAGGAGCAGCGGAGAGGCGGACCGGUGGUGGUGGAGCUCUUUUCAUCACAGGGCUGUGCUACCUCUCCAGAGGCGGAGCUGCUCUUCUCACGGCUAGGGAGGGGCGAUUUCAACCUUGAGGUGCCGGUGAUAUUGUUGGCUUACCAUGUUGAUUAUUGGGAUUAUAUGGGCUGGAAGGACCCUUUUGGGUCGAGCCAAUGGACUGUGAGGCAAAAGGCCUACGUUGAGGCCCUGAACCUUGAUACAAUGUUCACACCCCAAAUUGUGGUCCAGGGUCGGGCCCAAUGUGUUGGUAAUGAUCAGGAUGCUUUGUUAUCCUGCAUCGCGUCGGCACCGCGAGUUCCUGCUCCCUCGUUCCAGGUUAGCAAAUUUUAUUACAUCUAUAUUAUGAGUGAUGAUUGGUGUAUAGAUUCAUGGUUUACAGAACUCUUACCAACACUUCACAUGGGGGGUGGGGAGAGAAGAGUGGGUUAAUUUUUUAACAUUAUUUAUUCAUGUGGGACCCAUAUUUUUAUGAGAGUAUGUACACAUUCUGUUAAAAAAAUGAGAAUUUUGGGUAAAAUAUAUUUUGAAAUAGUAAUUUUUAGAAGAAUGUGUGUUUAAAAAAUUAUUUUUUUUUAAAAUUUAUGUUUAAUAUUAUUUUAUUAGAGAAUGUGCGAUUAAGAAAAAGAAAGUAAAAAAUGUACUAAAAUUUUAAUGGAAGCCAAACAAGAACAUAAAUUAUCUAACAUAAUAUUUAAGAGACCAUGUUUGGGAUAGAUUAAAGUUAAAUUUUUAGUGGAUUUUUAUAAAAGUUAAUGAAAUAUGUCGGGAUGACAAAAAUCGCCACCUCGCCUCAAUUGGACGCCCCCCCGACAGGUUGGCGGAGCAGCGUGGGGAAGGGAGGCCCCGAACCCGCCCCUGUGAAGAGAAAAAUAAAAUAAAUAAAUAAAAAUAGUAAAAAAAACAAUAAAAAAAUAAAUGGGGGUGGGGCGGAGUUUGGUGGGACGGCCUCGCCCCAAAUCUGCUCCGCUCCGCUGCCAUCACUAAAAAUAUAUGAUUGAAAAGUUGUAAGCCAUGCAAUGCGUAAUUAAAAUUAAUUAUUGAUUUCAACUCAAAAUUACCAUCAACUUCUAGUCUAUAUUAAGUAGGGCCUAAUGUAAUGGUUGCAUUCUAUCAUGAAAUUAUCUGGUUUUUUAUUAUUUUAUUAUUUAUUAGUGUUUGCUUAGUCCUUGUUUGGUUCAUUUGAAAAAGUUGAUAAAAUCUAAGUCAAAAUCAACAAUUAAUUUCAAUCUCAUAUUUCAUCAACUUUCAUCGAAAUUUGCUAAAAAUACGAAUUUUUGCUACACCAAACAUAGUUUUAGUAUACAAAUAAUUGUAUGCAAUUUUCAUUUGUGUAUAGCUUAAUCGAAAUUCAUCGAUCACAUCACUUAAUAUUCCUAUUACCAGCGUUGUGGCGGGCGGACGCUAAGACAAGCUAAAUCUUCUAAUCGAUAAUUAGGCCAAAGAAGGAACUUCAAUUUCAUUAAUUGAUUUAUCUCUCUAUCAAGGUGAUUACUGUCAUCUAGAACUUGGCUGCUAUUCUUUUCGUUGCAAAAUACAUGAUUUCUAUCUACAUCAUUCCUAUUCUUUGAAUUGAAACAAAUUUCUAUCGGUCAACUAUUCAAUCAAAUGAUAUUGAGCAUGUUUCCCAUCUCUUCUCGAGAAAUAAGUGGGCUAUUUCUUUGCAAAAUUGUGCUCAAUUUCAUAUGUGGCAAUUCCGCGAAGAUCUCUUAGUUGGGGGAAGAAUCUGCACAAACGGAUUUUUUGAGGAACGUAUCAAGAGAGAAUUUGAUUUGGUUAGACAAUGUGUGGUUGGUAAACAAGAAUCGGUUUUUUAGGAAGGUACGGAAUGUAUCGUCAAAUAUUCAAUAUGAUUAUACAAGAUCUAGUUUCAUUCAAGUAACGGAUUCUAGCGAACUGAAAGGAUCUUCUGAUCAAUCCAGAGAUUAUUUGGAUUCCAUUAGUAAUGAGGAUUUGGAAUAUCACUCAUUGAUCAAUCAAAGAGAGAUUCAACAACUAAAAGAAUGAUUCUUUGGGAUCCUUCCUUUCUUCAAAUGGAAGGAACAGAGAUAGAAUCAGACCGAUCCCCGAAAUGCCUUUCUGGAUAUUCCUCAAUGUCCCGGCUAUUCAUGGAACGUGAGAAGCAGAUAAUCAUCUGCUUCCGAAAAAAAUCGAAGAAUCUCUUGGGAAUCCUACAAGAUCCGUUUGUUCUUCAUAUGGGUUUGAAUCCUACUGAGAGGUCCACUAGAGAUCAGAAAUUGUUGAAGAAACAACAAGAUCUUUUUUUUGAACUUUCCAGGCGAUCAAAAAAUAAAGAAAUGGUUAAUAUAUUCAAGAUAAUUAUGUAUUUACAAAAUACUGCCUCAAUUCAUCCUAUUUCAUCAUAUCUGAGGUGUGAUAGGGUUCUAAAGGAUGAACCGGAUAUGGACAGUUCGAAUAAGAUUUCAUUCUUGAACAAAAAUCCAUUUUUUGAUUUAUUUCAUUUAUUUGUAAUAUUAUUUUAUUGAAAUAUGUGAUUGAGAAAAAAUAAAUAAUAAUGGGAGCCCAAACACGGGCCAAGAUUCCUUUUCUAGUAGCAUUUUCAAUAGGACACAAUAUUUGGACGGUUGAACAAACAUGUGUCCAACUCCUAAUUGUUGGUAACAUGUUCCCCACAUGUACCUACCUGCUCUAACCUUUUAUUUUCGCAAAUGACUAAUCGAUUAAGUCAGAACAAAUUCUAUAAGUUUUCGCACGGGUCUCUUUAUAAAUCCUUAUUGAAUGCUUGCUUGGUCGGAAUUUUGUUAAUUGAUUUUUUGAUCGUUAGAGGUAAAUUGGGUUUUAUCUGUGAGAUAAGAAUUCAAAAAUAAUUAUUGGAAUAGUGAAAUAACGAUAAAAAAAUUAAUUUUAAUUGAAUUUUAAACUGUACCAAACAUGCUCUUAAUUUUUGUUUGGCUUCCAUUUCUUAAAAUUCCUUUUUUCUUAAAAUUUAUUUUUAACUAUACAUUUCAUAGAACCUGCAACUUUUGUUGACUUUACAUGUACACAUUUCACAAACAUUUAUUAAAAUUUUCGUUUUUAUCAUAGUAUUAGAGAGUCGUUUGAUAAGAUUUUUGAAAAUUUAAAAGUUGCUUCUACCUUAUGAUCAAGUUCCUUUGACCUUAAUUUUGUAAGAAAAUACAUGAAAACUAGCUGUAUAUAGGAACAUAUAUGUGAUCCAUUCGCCACCUUUUUCUCUCUACCACCUCUCUUCUCUCUCAAUCUUUCUACCCUAUUUUCUAGUUUAUAUAUAUAUUUCUUACCAUACAUUUUGUUAUUCUCUCAUUUCUCUCCUCUCACAACAAGAAAGAAAAGCCAACAUAUUCUCUCCCAUCAUCAACAGUAACGUCGAUCAUCACCUGACCGGUCGAGACGACACGUCGACUAUGGCGCGCCGUCUCUUCACCUGUUUUGGCAAAGGCUCCUCGCAUCAUAAGCGAGAAAUUUCGUACGAAAAUACCACGUCGGAUAUGACGGUGGAGGAGCAGCGGAGAGGCGGACCGGUGGUGGUGGAGCUCUUUUCAUCACAGGGCUGUGCUACCUCUCCAGAGGCGGAGCUGCUCUUCUCACGGCUAGGGAGAGGUGAUUUCAACCUUGGGGUGCCGGUGAUAUUGUUGGCUUACCAUGUUGAUUAUUGGGAUUAUAUGGGCUGGAAGGACCCUUUUGGGUCGAGCCAAUGGACUGUGA
rnacentral:lncRNA from 1 species